CCAAAGGCUAUUUUAAGAGCCAUCCAAUUUGCAAUAAGAGUAUUCU
rfam:Salmo salar isolate Sally breed double haploid chromosome ssa12, whole genome shotgun sequence.